rnacentral:rRNA from 1 species
UACGUAGGGUGCGAGCGUUAAUCGGAAUUACUGGGCGUAAAGCGUGCGCAGGCGGUUAUGUAAGACAGGGGUGAAAUCCCCGGGCUUAACCCGGGAACUGCAUUUGUGACUGCAUAGCUAGAGUACGGUAGAGGGGGAUGGAAUUCCGCGUGUAGCAGUGAAAUGCGUAGAUAUGCGGAGGAACACCGAUGGCGAAGGCAAUCCCCUGGACCUGUACUGACGCUCAUGCACGAAAGCGUGGGGAGCAAACAGG